rnacentral:rRNA from 1 species
UACGUAGGGGGCUAGCGUUGUCCGGAAUCAUUGGGCGUAAAGCGCGUGUAGGCGGUCCGGUAAGUCCGCUGUGAAAGUCGAGGGCUCAACCCUCGAAUGCCGGUGGAUACUGUCGGGCUUGAGUACGGGAGAGGCGAGUGGAAUUCCUGGUGUAGCGGUGGAAUGCGUAGAGAUCGGGAAGAACAUCAGUGGCGAAGGCGGCCUGCUGGGCUGUUGCUGACGCUGAGGCGCGACAGCGUGGGGAGCAAACAGG